rnacentral:rRNA from 1 species
AUUGAACGCUGGCGGCAGGCCUAACACAUGCAAGUCGAACGGUAACAGGAAGCAGCUUGCUGCUUUGCUGACGAGUGGCGGACGGGUGAGUAAUGUCUGGGAAACUGCCUGAUGGAGGGGGAUAACUACUGGAAACGGUAGCUAAUACCGCAUAACGUCGCAAGACCAAAGAGGGGGACCUUCGGGCCUCUUGCCAUCGGAUGUGCCCAGAUGGGAUUAGCUAGUAGGUGGGGUAACGGCUCACCUAGGCGACGAUCCCUAGCUGGUCUGAGAGGAUGACCAGCCACACUGGAACUGAGACACGGUCCAGACUCCGACGGGAGGCAGCAGUGGGGAAUAUUGCACAAUGGGCGCAAGCCUGAUGCAGCCAUGCCGCGUGUAUGAAGAAGGCCUUCGGGUUGUAAAGUACUUUCAGCGGGGAGGAAGGGAGUAAAGUUAAUACCUUUGCUCAUUGACGUUACCCGCAGAAGAAGCACCGGCUAACUCCG